rnacentral:rRNA from 1 species
GGGGAGUCUACACUGCAGUUCGAACGAAGCACUUAAGAAUGAUUCCUUCGGAUGAAGUCUUAUUUGACUGAGUGGCGGACGGGUGAGUAACGCGUGGGUAACCUACCUCACACAGGGGGAUAACAGUUGGAAACGACCGCUAAUACCGCAUAAGCCGACAGUAUCGCAUGAUACAGACGGAAAAGAUUUAUCGGUGUGAGAUGGACCCGCGUCUGAUUAGCCAGUUGGCAGGGUAACGGCCUACCAAAGCGACGAUCAGUAGCCGGCCUGAGAGGGUGAACGGCCACAUUGGGACUGAGACACGGCCCAAACUCCUACGGGAGGCAGCAGUGGGGAAUAUUGCACAAUGGGGGAAACCCUGAUGCAGCGACGCCGCGUGAGUGAAGAGGUAUUUCGGUAUGUAAAGCUCUAUCAGCAGGGAAGAAAAUGACGGUACCUGACUAAGAAGCCCCGGCUAACUACGUGCCAGCAGCCGCGGUAAUACGUAGGGGGCAAGCGUUAUCCGGAUUUACUGGGUGUAAAGGGAGCGUAGACGGUGAUGCAAGUCAGAAGUGAAAGCCCGCGGCUCAACUGCGGGACUGCUUUUGAAACUGUAUAACUAGAGUGCAGGAGAGGUAAGCGGAAUUCCUAGUGUAGCGGUGAAAUGCGUAGAUAUUAGGAGGAACACCAGUGGCGAAGGCGAUUCUCUGGGCCAAGACUGACGCUGAGGCGCGAAAGCGUGGGGAGCAAACAGGAUUAGAUACCCUGGUA